rnacentral:tRNA from 1 species
GCUGGUUUGCCCAAGUGGUUAAGGGGAAAUACUUAAGAUCUUCUGCACAUAAGUGCGUGUGGGUUCGAACCCCGCAACCAUCA